rnacentral:lncRNA from 1 species
GAGGUUAUCCAGAGUAUCGUAUUUAUUUUUUUACCACUAGGAGAAAGAGUGUAUCUGACAAACCGGUCUAUUACAACUAACCCUUUAGGCAACAAAGAAUGUUCUCGAUGUGAGUGAUAAAUAGAGAAGACUGCAACCAUAGUCUCCUUCUAACCUUGGUAAGGAUGAUCUACUGUUCUAUUGGGGAGGCUAACGGAAUCUAGACACCACAAAGGAUGUUCAACCCGCACCUAUAAACCCUAUCCUUCCUGCUAACGAGAUAUGGUCUGCAAAGGUAACUCGGAAUUGUCACGUUCCGCACUACUACCACAGUCCAGC